rnacentral:rRNA from 1 species
AGUGAACGCUGGCGGUAGGCCUAACACAUGCAAGUCGAACGGCAGCACAGUAAGAGCUUGCUCUUACGGGUGGCGAGUGGCGGACGGGUGAGGCAUACAUCGGAAUCUACUUUUUCGUGGGGGAUAACGUAGGGAAACUUACGCUAAUACCGCAUACUACCUACGGGUGAAAGCAGGGGAUCUUCGGACCUUGCGCGAUUGAAUGAGCCGAUGUCGGAUUAGCUAGUUGGCGGGGUAAAGGCCCACCAAGGCGACGAUCCGUAGCUGGUCUGAGAGGAUGAUCAGCCACACUGGAACUGAGACACGGUCCAGACUCCUACGGGAGGCAGCAGUGGGGAAUAUUGGACAAUGGGCGCAAGCCUGAUCCAGCAAUACCGCGUGGGUGAAGAAGGCCUUCGGGUUGUAAAGCCCUUUUGUUGGGAAAGAAAAGCAGCAGGUUAAUACCCCGCUGUUCUGACGGUACCCAAAGAAUAAGCACCGGCUAACUUCGUG